AAAUAAAUUUAGUAUCACUAUCAUUAUGGGAUCCUCAGAUUCUCUUUUUCUUACAUUAUUCUUGAUUCUAGUAUCAAAUUUAUGGGCAGCUACUUCACAAUCAAUUCAAGAAAAUUUCUUUACGUGCAUUUCUCUCAAUUCCGAACUUUCUAUUCCGUUUCCAACAGCUUUUUAUGCCCCUGGCAAUGCUUCAUAUAAUCCCAUCCUGGAAUCUUCUGCGAUGAAUUUAAGGUAUUUGAUUCCUUCUGUGCCGAAACCUCAGCUGAUCUUCACCCCAUUAACUGAAAAUCAUGUUCAGGCCACUGUUCAAUGCGCAAAAAAGGUCGGGAUUCAGCUUAGAUUCCGAAGUGGAGGCCAUGAUUAUGAGGGCCUCUCGUACGUGUCACAAAUGGAACAACCUUUUCUCCUUGUAGACCUAUCGAGACUCCGGAAUGUCCAUGUAGAUAUACAGGACAACAGCGCGUGGGUGCAAGCUGGUGCUACUGUUGGUGAGUUUUAUUACAGAAUUUCACAGAAAAGUAAAAUUCAUGGAUUCCCUGCAGGA
rnacentral:lncRNA from 1 species